UACGGAGGUGGCAAGCGUUGCUCGGAAUCACUGGGCGUAAAGGGCGCGUAGGCGGGGAGGUAAGUCGGGUGUGAAAUCCCUCGGCCCAACCGAGGAACUGCGCCCGAGACUGCUUCUCUUGAGUCCCGGAGAGGAAGGUGGAAUUCCCGGUGUAGCGGUGAAAUGUGUAGAGAUCGGGAGGAACACCGGUAGCGAAGGCGGCCUUCUGGACGGUGACUGACGCUGAGGCGCGAAAGCGUGGGGAGCAAACGGG
rnacentral:rRNA from 1 species